AAGCCCCGGUACUCUUUACUGGUACUAUAUUAGACUUGCACUCUAAUCUCUCUAGGG
rnacentral:tRNA from 1 species